GUAAAUGUUAAACAGAGUUUGCCGUAUAUGGCAGUUGUGGCCUAAUGGUUAGAGAGUCUGACUUGUAACCCUAAGGUUGUGGGUUUGAGUCUCAGGUCCGGCAGGGAUUGUUGGUGGGGGGAGUGAAUUACCAGUGCUCUCACCACCCUCAAUACCACGACUGAAGUGAAACCCUUGAGCAAGGCACCGAACCCCCAACUGCUCCCCGGGCACCACAGCGUGUGUGUGUGUGCACUUGGAUGGGUUAAAUGCAGAGCACAAAUUAAUGUCAUGUCCUUUCCUUUCUUUUCCUGUAAAAACAUUUGGUGUUAUAGAAUUGUUAUUUUUUUAUUUUUAUUUUUUUUAUUGUUUUCCCCUAAAAUAUAUUGUCUUCUUGAUCCUCACUCUUAUUCUGUUAGGUACCUUGAGAAUGGAUGGAGAAAAAGAAAAAGAGCGGGAGAGAGGAGAUGAAAAAGAGAGUGAUGAGACAGAGGAGGAUGCAGAGGGGGCAGCCUUAUUAUGGCAAGAGGGAUACCCUGAUGAUGACCUGGGCUUACCCAUCAUGCACUGGGAGGAUCUGAGUCUCCGUAUUGCUGAACUUGAGAAGCAACAAGAGGAGCGAAGACAGAGGGAAAAGGACUUAGACAGGUUGACAGUAGACUGGCCAGAAAUCAGAGGGCUGAGCAGUCACAGAGAAACCUAUGAGGACAUGGAGGACGAUUGCAACAGUCGUCUGACUGCUCUGACAACAAGGCUUCAGAGCCAGAUGAAUCUACAGCUUUGCUUCAUCAACAACAGUGAAAGUGAAGAGGAAGAAGAGGAAAUGGAGGCAAAGGUAAAAAACGAGGUGGCAAAACAGUCCAGUAAGAGUGGCAGCAAUCAGAGGUUAGAGAAAGAACGUGGUUCAAGCUCUGCAUCGACUAAGAAAACCAAAUCAAGAGGGUUCAAGAAUGAUGUCAGAGCUGCACUGAGUGUACUCAGACAUAAAUUGAGAUUGGAGCACAAACAGACUAUACCUCCCAGUGAGGCUGUCAGAGAAAGGAAGCACUAUGAACGAAAUGACUUGAAGAAUUUCAGCUUGAAGGAGUUGAAAGCGCUGAGGACCUCACUAAGCAAAGACAUUCAUGACCUCAGUUCAGAGCUGGUGGGUCGACUUCUCACAAGGGACCAGCUGAGAACAGAGCAAGACGCCAUGCUGCUGGAGGUACAAGAUAUGACAUCACUCUGACGCGCAGUCAAAAAAAAAAAAGUAUUUCCACUAAGGAACAAAAUGAAGGGACCCUUCCUUUACAAGACUGUCCGUGAGCUGCCUGAACUAAUUGACUUUACUGUGAAAAGCUACAGCACUCCAUCAUCACUUGAAAAAGACUUUUUCAUUGUAGAAUUUUUCUUGACAUUUUUAAGGCACCGAUGAGGAUUUAAAACUGCAGUUUACACUCUUACAGUUGCAAGAUCUAACUGAUAAAGCAACAAAGCGGUACAGUAUGUCAUGACAUGCUCUUUUGCUCAAUAUUACUCUUAAUUUGUUUAGUGCCAAAGCCAAUUAUGCCAAGCCUCACAUGUUAAGACAUGGCUCAUUAAAUGCUAUGUGUGUGUACAUACAUUGCCAAGCAACUCAUAACUGGAUUGUUUGUGUCACUGUUUGUGAAAUACUUCAAUAUUAUUUUGUGGAAUAAAAG
ensembl:lncRNA